rnacentral:rRNA from 1 species
UAGGGAAUCUUCCGCAAUGGGCGAAAGCCUGACGGAGCAACGCCGCGUGAGUGAUGAAGGUCUUCGGAUCGUAAAACUCUGUUAUUAGGGAAGAACAUAUGUGUAAGUAACUGUGCACAUCUUGACGGUACCUAAUCAGAAAGCCACGGCUAACUACGUGCCAGCAGCCGCGGUAAUACGUAGGUGGCAAGCGUUAUCCGGAAUUAUUGGGCGUAAAGCGCGCGUAGGCGGUUUUUUAAGUCUGAUGUGAAAGCCCACGGCUCAACCGUGGAGGGUCAUUGGAAACUGGAAAACUUGAGUGCAGAAGAGGAAAGUGGAAUUCCAUGUGUAGCGGUGAAAUGCGCAGAGAUAUGGAGGAACACCAGUGGCGAAGGCGACUUUCUGGUCUGUAACUGACGCUGAUGUGCGAAAGCGUGGGGAU